rnacentral:rRNA from 1 species
GAUGAACGCUGGCGGCGUGCCUAAUACAUGCAAGUCGAGCGAACAGACGAGGAGCUUGCUCCUCUGACGUUAGCGGCGGACGGGUGGGUAACACGUGGAUAACCUACCUAUAAGACUGGGAUAACUUCGGGAAACCGGAGCUAAUACCGGAUAAUAUAUUGAACCGCAUGGUUCAAUAGUGAAAGACGGUUUUGCUGUCACUUAUAGAUGGAUCCGCGCCGCAUUAGCUAGUUGGUAAGGUAACGGCUUACCAAGGCAACGAUGCGUAGCCGACCUGAGAGGGUGAUCGGCCACACUGGAACUGAGACACGGUCCAGACUCCUACGGGAGGCAGCAGUAGGGAAUCUUCCGCAAAGGGCGAAAGCCUGACGGAGCAACGCCGCGUGAGUGAUGAAGGUCUUCGGAUCGUAAAACUCUGUUAUUAGGGAAGAACAAAUGUGUAAGUAACUAUGCACGUCUUGACGGUACCUAAUCAGAAAGCCACGGCUAACUACGUG